rnacentral:rRNA from 1 species
CUACCAGACUCCUACGGGAGGCAGCAGUGGGGAAUAUUGCACAAUGGGGGAAACCCUGAUGCAGCGACGCCGCGUGAGUGAAGAAGUAUCUCGGUACGUAAAGCUCUAUCAGCAGGGAAGAAAAUGACGGUACCUGACCAAGAAGCCCCGGCUAACUACGUGCCAGCAGCCGCGGUAAUACGUAGGGGGCAAGCGUUAUCCGGAAUUACUGGGUGUAAAGGGAGCGUAGACGGUUAAGUAAGUCUGGAGUGAAAGGCCGGGGCCCAACCCCGGGACUGCUCUGGAAACUAUUUAACUUGAGUGCAGGAGAGGUAAGCGGAAUUCCUAGUGUAGCGGUGAAAUGCGUAGAUAUUAGGAGGAACACCAGUGGCGAGGGCGGCUUACUGGACUGUAACUGACGUUGAGGCUCGAAAGCGUGGGGAGCAAACAGGAUUAGAUACCCCGGUAAAC